UAGCUCCACGGCCCAAAAAAUAGUCUCGGGGGCUCAAGUGAUUCACCGAAGCGACGAGACCUUGAAAGCAGCUUUUUUGAAGUGUCAGUAGCGGGACGUUCUGUCAAUCGGGGAAGGUUUUUGGUGACAAGACCUGAAGAUAUCAGAAGUGAGAAUGCUGACAUGAGUAACAAAAAAAUCCUGUGAAAAACACGAUCGCCUGCCAGUGGAACGCUUUCUGCGUUCAGUCAAUCUACGUAGAGUGAAUCGGUCCAUAAGGAACCCCCAAAAGGGCUGUCAUCUGAUGGGUACACGAAAGUGACGAAGUAGCUUUGACUACAGAACCAUGCCUGUCUGUUGGAGCGAAUAGGAUGAUCGAGCCGAGGGCAGCCCCCUCUUCCCCUCACUCUCCUUUCCUGCUCCGUGGGAUUCACCUUGAGUCAUCAAAGCCUUUUUGACUCGGCCAGGUCCGGUUGCCCUACACGACUGGCGCGAUCGAAAGGAGAAACUCUCGUUUCCGUUUGGCUACUGCCACAUGGGGGCAGACACCUUUUUUUGUUAUCUAAAGGCUUUGACUCUGAAGUGGGCUUUGACUCGGCCCAACGAGCGAGGCAGGCUCCGGCUCCGCGCACCUACUGACACCUUUCUCAGCACUUGAGAGUGUGCACUUUCGUUUUCGAAUGUCUCGUUCAACCUCACGAGUCUACAGCCUUUCUCAUUCCAGUGCUCGCCUUUGAGUAGGGGUCUCGAGAGAGCGUACCGCCAUAGUCGUGAGUCUGUUUAUAGUCGCAACUCUUGUCAUAGUGAACAAGGUUUCAACUUCCAGGAAAAAACUUCUUUUUGGGAGGGCAAUCCUCCCGGUGAACUAACCGUACCCCAAACCGACACAGGUGAAC
rnacentral:ncRNA from 1 species